UCGGGAAUCUUGCACAAUGGGCGAAAGCCUGAUGCAGCAACACCGUGUGAGCGAGGAAGGCCUUCGGGUCGUAAAGCUCUGUUGUUGGGGACGAAGGGCGAAGGGUUAAUAGCCCCUAGCCUGACGGUACCCUUCGAGGAAGCCCCGGCUAACUACGUGCCAGCAGCCGCGGUAAUACGGAGGGAGCUAGCGUUGUUCGGAAUCACUGGGCGUAAAGCGCGCGUAGGCGGCUUUUCAAGUCAGAGGUGAAAUCCCGGGGCUUAACCCCGGAACUGCCUUUGAAACUGGAAAGCUAGAAUCUUGGAGAGGUGAGUGGAAUUCCGAGUGUAGAGGUGAAAUUCGUAGAUAUUCGGAAGAACACCAGUGGCGAAGGCGACUCACUGGACAAGUAUUGACGCUGAGGUGCGAAAGCGUGGGGAGCAAACAGGAUUAGAUACCCCCGUAGUCC
rnacentral:rRNA from 1 species